GGGGGUAUAGCUCAGUUGGUAGAGCGUUUGAAUGGCAUUCAAAAGGUCAGGAGUUCGAAUCUCCUUACCUCCACCA
rnacentral:tRNA from 2 species